rnacentral:rRNA from 4 species
GGAUAAUCUGCCCUCAGGUGAGGAAUAAUCCCGGGAAACUGGGGCUAAUGCCUCAUAGGAGACGGGUGCUGGAAUGCUCUGUCUCCGAAAGGUCCGCCGCCUGAGGAUGAGUCUGCGUCCGAUUAGGUUGUUGUUGGGGUAACGGCCCAACAAGCCUUUGAUCGGUACGGGUUGUGGGAGCAAGAGCCCGGAGAUGGAUUCUGAGACAUGAAUCCAGGCCCUACGGGGCGCAGCAGGCGCGAAAACUUUACAAUGCGAGCAAUCGUGAUAAGGAAACCCUGAGUGCCUGUCAAUGCAGGCUGUUCUGGUGUCUAACACACACCAGGAGAAAGGGCGGGGCAAGACCGGUGCCAGCCGCCGCGGUAAUACCGGCUGCUCGAGUGAUAGCCACUUUUACUGGGCUUAAAGCGUUCGUAGCUUGGUCGUUAAGUCUCUGGGGAAAUCUUUUGGCUCAACCAAAAGGCGUCUCAGGGAAACUGACGAUCUUGGAACCGGGAGAGGUAAGACGUACUUCGGGGGUAGGAGUGAAAUCUUGUAAUCCCCGAGGGACGACCGAUGGCGAAGGCAUCUUACCAGAACGGCUUCGACAGUGAGGGACGAAAGCUGGGGGAGCAAACCGGAUUAGAUACCCGGGUAGUCCCAGCCGUAAACGAUGUGCGUUAGGUGUGUCAGUGACCACGAGUCGCUGAGGUGCCGAAGGGAAACCGUGAAACGCACCGCCUGGGAAGUACGGUCGCAAGGCUGAAACUUAA